rnacentral:tRNA from 1 species
GGAGGAGUGGCCGAGUGGUCGAAGGCAGCGGUUUUGAAAACCGCCGUACCGAAAGGUACCAGGGGUUCGAAUCCCUUCUCCUCCG